AACGAACGCUGGCGGCAGGCCUAACACAUGCAAGUCGAGCGCGCCUUCGGGUGAGCGGCGGACGGGUGAGUAACGCGUGGGAAUAUGCCCUUCUCUACGGAAUAGUCCUGGGAAACUGGGGGUAAUACCGUAUACGCCCUUUGGGGGAAAGAUUUAUCGGGGAAGGAUUAGCCCGCGUUGGAUUAGGUAGUUGGUGGGGUAAUGGCCUACCAAGCCGACGAUCCAUAGCUGGUUUGAGAGGAUGAUCAGCCACACUGGGACUGAGACACGGCCCAGACUCCUACGGGAGGCAGCAGUGGGGAAUCUUAGACAAUGGGGGCAACCCUGAUCCAGCCAUGCCGCGUGAGUGAUGAAGGCCUUAGGGUUGUAAAGCUCUUUCAGCUGGGAAGAUAAUGACGGUACCAGCAGAAGAAGCCCCGGCUAACUCCGUG
rnacentral:rRNA from 1 species